ensembl:snRNA U2 U2 spliceosomal RNA
CUCCCUUCCCUGCCUAUUGGCAAAAAUCAAAUGCAGUAUCUUGCUUAUCAGUUGAAGCAUCUGAGUGUUCUCUGUCUGUGUACUGAGCACUAAAUGAAUGUUUGGAAUUAGGAGGUAGAUUGGGAGCUUGUCCUGUCCACUCCAUGCCUCAGCCUGGAACUGUAUUACUUCCAGGAAUGGUGCGUUCCUU